rnacentral:tRNA from 1 species
GGGCGCUUAGCUCAGUUGGUUAGAGCAAUUGCCUUACAAGCAAUAGGUCGAGGGUUCGAGUCCCCCAGCGCCCA